rnacentral:rRNA from 1 species
UACGUAGGGCGCAAGCGUUAUCCGGAAUUAUUGGGCGUAAAGAGCUCGUAGGCGGUUUGUCGCGUCUGCUGUGAAAGACCGGGGCUCAACUCCGGUUCUGCAGUGGGUACGGGCAGACUAGAGUGAUGUAGGGGAGACUGGAAUUCCUGGUGUAGCGGUGAAAUGCGCAGAUAUCAGGAGGAACACCGAUGGCGAAGGCAGGUCUCUGGGCAUAACUGACGCUGAGGAACGAAAGCAUGGGGAGCGAACAGGAAUUAGA